rnacentral:rRNA from 1 species
GACGAACGCUGGCGGCGUGCCUAAUACAUGCAAGUCGAACGCAGUGGGGACGGGUGAGUAACACGUGGGUAACCUCCCAUCAGAGGGGAUAACACUUGGAAACUGGUGCUAAACCGAUACUGAUGGAUGGACCCGGGGUGCAUUAGCUAGUUGGUGAGGUAACGGCUCACCGAGGCCACGAUGCAUAGCCGGCCUGAGAGGAUGAUCGGCCACACUGGAACUGAGACACGGCCCAGACUCCGACGGGAGGCAGCAGUGGGGAAUCUUCGGCAAUGGACGAAAGUCUGACCGAGCAACGCCGCGUGAAUGAAGAAGGUUUUCGGGUUGUAAAGCUCUGUUGUUGAGGACGCGGUAUCUGCCCAAAAAGCCACGGCUAACUACGUGCCAGCCGCCGCGGUAAUUC